UAUAAAAUCACGCUAGUUCUGCAGAAAAGCCUCCCUCUUUCGUGGUCGGGUUCAUUUGUCGUCGGAAGCAAGCGCCGAGGAAAGUUGGGUUUACAGCCCCCGAAACUUAAGGGUUUCAGCAACCAAAACCCACUCUUCGCACACCCCUAACUCCCUCCUUUCUUCACCAACAUUCAUUUCAAUGCCCAGUUGGUUUCUUCCGUCUCUACCUACCUACUAUGUUAUUUUUAACUCUGUAGUGUAGACUUGAAAUGGUGGCCAUACUCAGCUGAUUACCCUAACCCUACCAAGAGCCAGAAUGCGUUUUCUUCAUCACAAUCAAUGUCUCUAUAACCCCUUUUCCAAGCUCUCUUCCUUUUCCUCACCAUUUUGUCUAAUGGGUUCCUUUCCUUUGUGCAAAUCAACUUCUCUGGUUUUCCUGUCACACCUUUCUUCUUCUUCUUCUUCUUCUUCUUCUUAUUCGCAGAAGUAUUUCCUGUACAGAAGCAUUUCUCUUCUCCAUGGUUCAUUUCCUGUACGACCCACGUCCCUUGUGAAACCCUUUGCCAUGAAACCAAAUGGGUUUUCUUCUUUUACUUCUCAUGCCAAUGUUCCCAGACCUCCAGCCUUUUCGGAGAAUCCACGAGACAAGGCUUUAAGCUCCACUCUAUUGAAUAUUCUGAGAAAAAAAUUGCAGGAUCUUGGCAUUGACAUCGAAGCUUGUGUUCCUGGGCAGUUUUCCGGCUUGCUUUGUCCAAUGUGCAAAGGUGGCGAUUCAAAGGAACGAUCCUUCGCCCUACAUAUCUCAGAAGAUGGGGGGGCUGCUGUUUGGAAUUGCUUUCGUGGAAAAUGUGGUUGGAAAGGCCAUACUCUGGCCCUCGCUGAGGAUCGGUCAUCGUAUCAAGAUUUAGGACGAGUUGCACUUAAGCAAGAUUUAGGACGAGUUGCACUUAAGCAGAAUAUACGGAAAAUUACAGUGGAGAGUCUACAACUUGAACCACUGUGCGAUCAGGUGGUUGCUUAUUUUGCUGAGCGAUUGAUAUCCAAGGAAACAUUGUUAAGAAAUUCAGUUAUGCAGAAAACAUUUGGCGAUCAGAUUGCUAUUGCAUUUACGUAUUAUCGAGGUGGAGCAUUAGUUAGUUGCAAGUACCGUGAUGUCAACAAAAAGUUCUGGCAGGAGGCCAAUACUGAGAAAAUAUUUUAUGGAAUCGAUGACAUAGAGGGCGCAAGUGAUAUCAUCAUAGUUGAAGGGGAGAUAGACAAGCUCUCAAUGGCAGAAGCUGGUAUCCAUAAUUGCGUGAGUGUUCCAGAUGGUGCACCACCAUCAGUUUCCAAAAAGGACGUACCUUCUGCAGAUCAGGAUAAGAAGUAUCAGUUUCUAUGGAACUGCAAAAACUACUUGAAUAAGGCCUCACGUAUUAUACUUGCUACUGAUGGGGAUACUCCUGGUCAAGCUUUAGCAGAGGAGAUUGCACGCCGUGUUGGGAGGGAAAGAUGUUGGAGGGUCAAAUGGCCAAAAAAGAAUGAGGUCGAUCAUUUCAAAGAUGCGAACGAGGUUUUGAUGUACUUGGGCCCUGAGGCCCUGAAGGAAGUUGUUGACAACGCAGAGUUGUAUCCUAUAAGUGGAUUGUUUAACUUCAAAGAUUACUUCCACGAGAUUGAUGCAUAUUAUCACAAAAAAUUUGGAUUUGAGUUUGGUGUCCCGACUGGAUGGAAUUCUCUCAAUAAUUUGUACAAUGUUGUCCCAGGGGAGCUUACCAUUGUUACUGGUGUUCCUAAUUCAGGCAAAAGUGAGUGGAUUGAUGCUCUGCUAUGCAAUCUUAAUGCAAGUGUUGGUUGGAAAUUUGCUCUCUGCUCUAUGGAAAAUAAGGUUCGAGAACAUGGAAGAAAACUAUUGGAGAAACACAUGAAGAAGCCUUUCUUUGUUGGACGUUAUGGUGGCUCUGUUGAACGAAUGAGUGUUGAGGAGUUGGAGCAAGGCAAGCAAUGGUUAGAUGAUACAUUUUUUCUUUUAAGGUCUGAAAAGGAUUCCCUCCCAAGUAUUAGUUGGGUCUUGGAUCUUGCAAAAGCAGCAGUUUUAAGGCAUGGAGUUUCUGGAUUGGUAAUUGAUCCUUAUAAUGAGCUUGACCAUCAACGGCUUCCAAAUCAAACUGAAACAGAGUAUGUGAGCCAGAUGCUUACUAAGGUCAAACGGUUUGCUCAUCAUCAUGGUUGCCAUGUUUGGUUUGUUGCACAUCCUAGGCAGGAUAUGAAACUCUAGACAAAACCACUUUUGAUGGAACCUGAACAGAGGAGACUGUUGGGACUGUCGUUGACAUUCGCACCGUCGCCAUGGAGUAGCUUUUCCACCACCUUCAAACCAUGCCGAUUGGUGCAACCUCUCAGUCGCACUCAACCAGCCGCAAUCUUUCGUCCACCCGCCGCUGAUCUAUCCUAACCAACCGCAGCUACACCCAAGUCGACCUCAGUUGCCGUCUGUUGCCUAGCCACUAGUCCUUGUCCAGCUGCUAACCCUAGACCUCUUUACUAUAUUGUCGUAAACCCUAGACCAUCUCGCCGCAAAUCUAACACUGUCCAACCGCCAACUUUGUCGCAAACCAUAAUUCCAUCCAACUCUGCCACUAACCAAAUCCUACACCACUACCCCACCAGACACUAUACCUCACUGGAAACUCUUUCCAAUUAUCACCUUGGUGUUGGUAAUCCUCAUAUCCAAUCAACUUUUGAGGUUGGUGAAUCUUUAGCUUAGUCCAAACCUUACGUGCAAAAUUUUUCUCAAGGUACCAUCCAAUAACAACUAGACAUACUUUAAUAGCUAGUUAAGGCAAUGUUAGAGGCUCAUACUAAUAUUCCCUCUCGCAAUCUUUAUCCAACCAUACGAAUGUAUUCCACGAAUCUGGUACCUUUGCUCCCUACCUUACGUGUCUAGUUCUGUGGCAUAGACUAUAGAAGUCAUUAUAGGGGAGAAACUGAAUUGCCACAAUCCGUAAAAUGAUUCUUGAGGAGAUCCCUGGGAACGGUACACCAGAAUGCCUCUUGCCACUACACACAGUGAAAAUUGGCCAAACAAGGGACUUUAGAUGUAACAUCCUAUUUUAACAAACUUUCUCUAAUUUGGUAGGAAGUGGAUUUUUGUAGAGAAAUUGUCUGAAUUGUCCCGGUGAUGGUGUAUAGUACUCUAGAAUUGAAGAUGUUGAUAGAAUAUAUGACUUCCUUGGUGGCCUCAAUUUGAAGUACGAUAUAGUCCAUGGGCAUAUACUGGGCUUGGGCUAGAGACCUAUUCCUUCUUUGAUGAAGGUUUGUUCUGAAAUCUGACUUGAGGAGGACCGUACAAGCGCUAAGAAUAUCUUAACCACCUUUGCAUUUAUUCCACUGCCUUCAGUUCGAGGCCCUCUACUGAUGACAGCGAGAAACACAACGAAAAAUCUCUCCGACUUUGAGCAUUGCAAGAAACAGCAGCACACAAAUUACAUGAUCGUCCCCUAGGAGGUAAGAAACGUCCUCCGAACGACAAACAAAAUUCAGGGCGAGCUUAUGUGAGUAAGUCUGCUGGAACUUUUCAACCAUUUGGUUACAUUAGAAACCAAAGCGAUCCUAGUCCUACCACACUAGGAGCUAUUGCCCUAUCCGAUAUUCCUUAGUCCCUCAAGACCCUUGGAUUUUGGAUUCAGGUGCUACAAAUCAUCUGAUAAGUUUCUCAGAGAAUUUUGUUUCCAAUUUUUCGUGUCGGUAACGAAACAUUUAAAAUUGCAAAUGGCUCCUUGGCCUUAAUGUUGCGAAGGGGCAAAUCUUUCCUUUUGAAGGCUACCCUUACGUAAUGUGCUGCAUGUGCCCAAAAUUUCUUAUAAUUUGCUAUCUAUAAAUAAGAUUACCUAUGAGCUACAUUGCAAAGCAACUUUCGUACCUAGUUCUUUUUCUUUUCAGGACUUUAGCUUGGGGAGGAUGAUUGGCACUGUCUGGCAGAGUAGGGGACUCUACAUCCUUGAUGAUGAUGCUUCCUCUAGUAGCACCUCUAGCACUAGUGUUUUACCUUUGUACUUUAGUAUUUCUGAGAAAGACCGUAUGUUGUGACAUUUUUGUUUGGGCCACCCAAAUUUUUAAUAUAUGAAACAUUUAUUUCCUCGUCUUUUCUCUAUUGUUGAUGUUUCUACCUUAUAUGUGAUGUGUGUAUUUGGGCUAAACAACAUCGAGUCUCUUUUCCUUCACAGUCAUACAAACCAAUCCAACCUUUCACUUUUAUCCACAGUGACGUUUGGGGGAGUGGUCCAAGGUUACAACUGCUUCUGGGAAAUAGUGAUUUUUGACCUUCAUUGAUGAUUAUACUUGUUUUACCUGGGUCUUUCUCAUCUUUGACAAAUUCGAGGUCUCAUCCAUAUUUCGAGACUUUUAUCACACCGUAGAAAUGCAGUUCAAUGCAAAAUUGAUAUUCUACGGAGUGACAAUUGUCGUUAGUUUCAAAACCAUUCUCUCAAUGAGUUUCUAGCCUCCAAAGCGAUUGUUCACCAAAGUUUUUGUGCUUACACCCCCCAGAAAAAUGGGGUUGCGGAGAGAAAAAACCGUCACCUUAUGGAGUUUGCUUCCUUAUGUUAUCUACUUCCUUUCCCUCUUAUCUGUGGGGCGAGGAUGUUCUUGCUGUAGCUCAUCUAAUCAAUCGGAUGCCCUCUCGAGGCCUGCACAUCUAGACUCCUUUAGAAUGUCUCAAGGAGUUUUAUCCCUCUACCCGUCUCAUUCUUGAUGUUUCCCUUCAGGUUUUUGGGUGCACGACCCAUGUUCAUAGCUAUAACCCUAACCAGACCAAGUUCACCUUUUGGGCUCUGGCGUGUGUGUUUGUUGGGUAUCCUCUUCAUCAACGGGGCUAUAAAUGUUUCCAUCAUAUUUUUCGUAAGUACUUUAUCUCCAUGGAUGUCACCUUCCACGACAAUCGUCUUUUCUUUCUCGUUAGCCUGCUUUAGGGGGAGUGUGUGAGUGAAAAGCCUAACUGUGUGGUUUCCUUAGAGUCUAUCGUCCUACUCUUGUAACCUUACCCUUACUUGAUCAUGAUCCUCAUAACUCGGUCUUACCUACCAACCAAGUUCCCUGGAUAACCUACUAUAGGAGAAAUCUCAUAGAGGAAGUUGUCCCCUACUGUUCAGCCGACUCCAAUCCAAGAUUCUGAACCACUACGAGAUCAAGGUAUGACUAAUUCUAUUGAUCCAUAUGUUGACAGUAAAAUGUGUGAAAGUGACAGGUCCGAUAUAGUUCUUGAAGACAUGAGUGAAAAGGGCAAUGUUGAUGAGAUUGACGUCACGACAGAAAUGGCAGGUGGUGAGGCUAAACAGGAUCAUUCACGUAACCUUGAUGAGUAUGAUUCGUCUCUUGACAUACCUAUUUUGCUAAAGGAAGGUACUAGGUUCUGCAUGAAGCACACCAUGUGUAACUAUGCUCUUACGAGAAUUUAUCACCCUAGUUCAAAGCUUUUACAACCAGUCUUUACUCCACCACGAUACCUAAGAAUAUUCAUAUUGCAUAAGAAUGCCCUAAGUGGAAAACUGCAGUCAUAGGAGAGAUGAGAGCCCUUGAAAAUAACAAAACUUGGAAGUUCUGAGCCCUUCCUAAGGGGCAUAAAGCUGUUGGAUGUAAAUGGGUGUUUACUCUCGAAUACGAAGCAGAUGGAACUAUAGAUAGAAAUAAGGCCAAGUUAAUUGCAAAAGGGUUCACUUAGACUUAUGAGGUUGACCACUCUGAGACUUUUUCUCCUAUUGCGAAGUUAAACGCCAUUGGGGUCUUGCUGUCUGUUGCCAUGAAUAAAGAUUGGCCCCUAUAUCAACUAGAUGUUAAGAACAGUUCUUGAAUGGAGACUUAGAAGAGGAAGUAUAUGAGCCCUCCUCCAGACUUUGAAGCCCAGUUUGACCAUCAAGUUUGCAAGCUUCAGAAAUCCAUGUAUGGGUUGAGGCAAUCACCGAGAGCUUGGUUUGGCAAAUUUACCACCUUUGUCAAGUCCUAAAGAUAUAGUCACGGGCACUCUGAUCACACUCAGUUCACCAAAAUCUUCAAGGUUGGGAAAAUUGUUGUGUUGAUUGUCUACAUUGAUAACAUUUUGUUAUAUGGGGAUGACACCGUUGAGAUCAAACCAACUUAAAAAUAAGAUGGGGGAUGAAUUUGAGAUUAAAGACUUGGGGAAUCUAAAAUACUUCCUUAGGAUGGAGGUAGCCAGAUCUAAAGAAGGUAUAUCUCAGAGAAAGUACACCUUUGAUUUGUUGACUAAAACAGGUAUGAUAGGAUGUCGACUUGCUGACUCGCCUAUCGAGUUCAAUGUUAAACUGGGAAAUUUAGUUGAUAAAGUUCUAAUUGAGAGAAAAAUAUUAGCGCCUAGUGGGGAAGUUGAUCUACUUAUCUUGCACUGAACCUAACAUCUCUUAUGUUAUGGGUGGUUGGUCAGCCCAUGGAGGCUCUUUACGAGGAACACAUGGAGGCAGUUAACAGGAUUAUGAGGUAUUUGAAAACUACUUUUGGUAAAGGGUUAAUGUUCAGGAAGAUUGACAGAAGGUAUAUUGAGGCUUGUACUGAUGUUGAUUAGGUAGGGUUUGUUGUUGAUAGAAAAUCCACCUCUAGGUACUGUACUUUUGUGUGGGGCAAUCUCAUUACUUAGAGGAGUAAGAAGCAAAAGGUUGUAGUCAUAAGCACUGCUGAAGCUAAGUACAUGGCUAUGAGUUUGUGGAUAUGUGUGGAAUUCUAACUCCAAAAGGUUACCAAGGAUAGAUUUUAAUUUGUAUACCCUAAUUAUUCUUUCUUUUUUUUUAACUAGGCUCUUGUUGCCUUAAGUUCCCUCUCUUGUACCUUUUUGUUCAAUAAGAAAGUAAUAAGAAGUUACCGUGGUUUUUCUCCCUCUAUUAGGGUUUUCAUGUAAACUUGUGUAUUCAUUCUUUAUCUUCAUUUUCAAUAGUUUCAAUAAGAAUAAAAAGAGGAAGCAAGAUUUACAACUAGAGAAACCCUCAGGAGGACUAAGAUUUCACAAUUGAAACUUCUUCCCCCUCCCCCACCACAAGAUGGAUGAAAGGAGGCCUAUAAUCCCCGUUGAACAUUGGGUUGGGGAAGUUGGAAACCCGAACGAAGAAGAGAAUGAUGUCCUUGACGAAUCAAGGCAUCAACAACACAACGAUUUUGCAUGGCAGAUAAAUGAUAAAAAUUAGGAAACAGUCUCCCACUCAUUUAUCCUCCCCAAGAAGAGUACCCUUCCUACUAUCCACCACGCACUGGAUUAUCAGAAAAAGAAGGGACCUCAUUACAAAUUUCCUUCCACGGGCUUUAUGAAUGUGCCUUUGACCUCACUCAAAAUCUAAUUGAAAGGACACGAACCGUACUUUCUCAAGAUAAUCCUAAACAACAGGUAAAGAUACUCAAUGGAAAAUGAUAACCAUUUUGCCAACAUUCUUUGUUUCUAGCUCAAGAAAGGGGUUAGUACGCUAGAAGCAUUGACUUGUACAAGGCAACAGAAGAAGAUUCCUUGAUUUAAGGGAAAUUCCCAGCAAGAAUGCCAAUUAGUCCUAUAAAUUUGCAGAACUGGUCUGGAAGUCCACCUAAUAUGUAUGAUAUAAGUGGAAGUGCGCACUUCAUAAACAAAUGUGAUAAUGGAAUUGUUAUUCAUCGUAAUAGGGAUCCUGAAAAUGGUCCUAUUGAUCUCGUACAG